AUUGAACGCUGGCGGCAGGCCUAACACAUGCAAGUCGAGCGGAUGAAGGGAGCUUGCUCCUGGAUUCAGCGGCGGACGGGUGAGUAAUGCCUAGGAAUCUGCCUGGUAGUGGGGGAUAACGUCCGGAAACGGGCGCUAAUACCGCAUACGUCCUGAGGGAGAAAGUGGGGGAUCUUCGGACCUCACGCUAUCAGAUGAGCCUAGGUCGGAUUAGCUAGUUGGUGGGGUAAAGGCCUACCAAGGCGACGAUCCGUAACUGGUCUGAGAGGAUGAUCAGUCACACUGGAACUGAGACACGGUCCAGACUCCUACGGGAGGCAGCAGUGAGGAAUAUUGGACAAUGGGCGAAAGCCUGAUCCAGCUAUGCCGCGUGUGUGAAGAAGGUCUUCGGAUUGUAAAGCACUUUAAGUUGGGAGGAAGGGCAGUAAGUUAAUACCUUGCUGUUUUGACGUUACCAACAGAAUAAGCACCGGCUAACUUCGUG
rnacentral:rRNA from 1 species